rnacentral:rRNA from 1 species
UUCCGGUUGAUCCUGCCGGACCUGACUGCUAUCGGAUUGAUACUAAGCCAUGCGAGUCAUUGUAGUAAUACAAGGCAGACGGCUCAGUAACGCGUAGUCAACCUACCCUGUGGACGGGGAUACCCUCGGGAAACUGAGAAUAAUACCCGAUAGAACAUUAUGCCUGGAAUGGUUUAUGUUUCAAAUAAUUUAUUGCCGUAGGAUGGGACUGCGUCCUAUCAGUUUGUUGGUGAGGUAAUGGCCCACCAAGACUAUUACAGGUACGGGCUCUGAGAGGAGUAGCCCGGAGAUGGGUACUGAGACACGGACCCAGGCCCUAUGGGGCGCAGCAGGCGAGAAAACUUUGCAAUGUGCGAAAGCACGACAAGGUUAAUCCGAGUGGUUUCUGCUAAAGGAACCUUUUGUCAGUCCUAGAAACACUGAUGAAUAAGGGGUGGGCAAGUUCUGGUGUCAGCCGCCGCGGUAAAACCAGCACCUCAAGUGGUCAGGAUGAUUAUUGGGCCUAAAGCAUCCGUAGCCUGCUUUGUAAGUUUUCGGUUAAAUCCAUACGCUCAACGUAUGGGCUGCCGGGAAUACUGCAAAGCUAGGGAGUGGGAGAAGUAGACGGUACUCGGUAGGAAGGGGUAAAAUCCUUUGAUCUAUUGAUGACCACCUGUGGCGAAGGCGGUCUACCAGAACACGUCCGACGGUGAGGGAUGAAAGCUGGGGGAGCAAACCGGAUUAGAUACCCGGGUAGUCCCAGCUGUAAACUAUGCAAACUCAGUGAUGCAUUGGCUUGAUGCCAAUGCAGUGCUGCAGGGAAGCCGUUAAGUUUGCCGCCUGGGAAGUACGUACGCAAGUAUGAAACUUAAAGGAAUUGGCGGGGGAGCACCACAAGGGGUGAAGCCUGCGGUUCAAUUGGAGUCAACGCCGGA